rnacentral:rRNA from 1 species
CCUACGGGUGGCUGCAGUGGGGAAUUUUGCGCAAUGGGCGAAAGCCUGACGCAGCAACGCCGCGUGAGGGAUGAAAUAUUUCGGUAUGUAAACCUCGCAAAUAUGGGAAGAACUCAAUGACGGUACCAUAUGUAAGCCACGGCUAACUUCGUGCCAGCAGCCGCGGUAAUACGAAGGUGGCAAGCGUUGUUCGGAAUUACUGGGCGUAAAGCGCGUGUAGGCGGCUCUUCAAGUCAGGCGUGAAAGCCCUGAGCUCAACUCAGGAACUGCGCUUG